AGGAACCUUGGAGCUCUCAGAGAUGAAUGGGAAGAUUCCAUGUGCUAAUCUCAUUUCCAAAUGUAAUUGGCACCUGAAUUACGAAACCCUGCUUCCAAAGGCUGCGCUCACAGAGCCAUCCAUCCUCCCUCCAUCGAGGUGGGCCAGCGUGCCCCUCUGAUGCAUGGUCACUGCUCCAGCAACGGAGAAGUAGUGGAGCUGCUACAACCUUUUGGAGGGCAACUUGGUAGUAGGAGUCAAAAUUUUAUAUUUGCAGAACCAUCAGCCCCAAGAUUUCAUUUCACAGAUUUAAUUCCUCUCAAAGAAGCAAUUGGACAAGUGGCCCAAAGCAUCUGAACUGUCAAACUUUCCUUGUAGUGUGAUGGAGUAAGCAGAAGGCUUGAAUCUAUGCUACUCCCUGUGUGGCCAUGGCUCUCAUUGGAUCAACCCAACCAGAAGUCAGAGGACAAAGGAGUCCAGGUGAUACAGUUUGUAGAGUUCAGCUUCCAGAGGAACAAAGUAGAGCAGCAAGAAGCAGAAAUGAAUAAAGGAGAAGAAAUAGGUAACGGACAGCAUAUCACCUUCAGCAUAAGCUUCUUCAGAAUGGAUGCUGAAUCUUUAAAAAAUAAUGUUGCCAUAGUGUUUUAAACAUUCGUUACAAAAAUGCAUACAUCAUAGAAAAUAAAAGGCCCCCUGUUAGCCCCAGAAAUACCCAUAGCUAACUACCUGUUCUGAAAUAUUUCCGAUUUUACCGUAUAUAAAAGCACUCUGAAUAUGGGUCUGUAGAAGACUGCAGUUCCAAAAAUGACCACAGCAAUAUUUCUGGUCUCCCGUGGUCUUCUUGACAUUGCCACGCCCCUUCACAAGGUGAGUCUAUUUUUCCUCCCCUUGAACCUGGGGAGGGUUUUGUGAUUGCUUGGACAGGGAGAAUGUGGCGAAGUGAUGCUGCAUGACUU